GACGAACGCUGGCGGCGUGCUUAACACAUGCAAGUCGAACGGAAAGGCCCUGCUUUUGUGGGGUGCUCGAGUGGCGAACGGGUGAGUAACACGUGAGUAACCUGCCCUUGACUUUGGGAUAACUUCAGGAAACUGGGGCUAAUACCGGAUAGGAGCUCCUGCUGCAUGGUGGGGGUUGGAAAGUUUCGGCGGUUGGGGAUGGACUCGCGGCUUAUCAGCUUGUUGGUGGGGUAGUGGCUUACCAAGGCUUUGACGGGUAGCCGGCCUGAGAGGGUGACCGGCCACAUUGGGACUGAGAUACGGCCCAGACUCCUACGGGAGGCAGCAGGGGGGAAUAUUGCACAAUGGGCGGAAGCAUGAUGCAGCAACGCCGCGUGCGGGAUGACGGCCUUCGGGUUGGAAACCGCUUUCGCCUGUGACGAAGCGUGAGUGACGGUAAUGGGUAAAGAAGCACCGGCUAACUACGU
rnacentral:rRNA from 1 species